rnacentral:lncRNA from 1 species
UUUGAAUGUUCCACGUGGAGUCGAGUUUGUUGACCUCCACAUGAUCCUCGUCCUAUUGGAUCACAGCCGCCCAAUUUUUAGAGCCCAUGCUCCCUAACGGGGGAGCACGCCAGCCCCCUCCGCGUUCCACCAGCGAAAAGCCACCCUCAUGGUGUGCCUCGGUGGGUCCCAGUCUGAUGGGAGGCAUCUAGAAGGGCUGGGUCCCACACGGGAUUCGCGUGUUGGUC